GUGUGUGUGAGAGAGGGAGAGAGAGGGAGACAGAUGGAGAGAGAGGGAUAGAGGAGGGGAGAGAGGCUCUUUCGUGGCCUUGCUUCAGGGCUGCAGAGCUACUGGUGCAGCCGAUGCCCUUGACCGUGAAAAGAAAGGGAGAACUCAGCCCAGGUUUCCUAAAUGUUGGUUAAUUUACUUGUGAAAUGAAUCCAAUAAGAGAAAGAGAAGGGCCAUAGACAAAUAGCUGUACUUCCUUCAGUUUCCCAGUGGAUAGAAUAUUAUAUCACUUUAUUCAAAGGUGUGGAAGCGUUUUGUUCACAGGUGUAAAUCCCCGCCCCCGCACCCCCAGCAUCAUACAUCGUGUCAUGAGGUCAUCAGGGAACAGCACGUGGUGCUCGUCUCUUGGACCUCUUGUUGUCAAUCUCUGAGUGAAGCUGAGUGGAACUGCAGGAAGAAUGAGGAAAGCUGGACCAUCAGUUUAGGCAUGGCUGCAACAAGUUACUUCAUUUCUCUGGGUCUCAGCGUCCUCAUGGGCAUGUGGAACCUUAGCUGCCUGACCAGGGAUCAAACCUAUACCCUGUGUGUUGGGAGGUGAAGCCUUGGACCACCAGGGAAGUCCCAAUGUCACAGUUUUACCUUGCCGCAGCCUUGCUUUCUGUUCCCUAAGAAUCUGAGAUUUCUUUUUCUCUUAUGGAACUGGAUGUGGUGUGAGUGGUAACUGAGAAAUUGUAAUAUAUUGGGUAUUCAGAAUGUUCUUUUGGAGGAAUUUUCCUUAAUAAAUCCAUGAUUAAAGUUGAAA